UGAGGAAUAUUGGUCAAUGGACGAGAGUCUGAACCAGCCAAGUAGCGUGAAGGAUGACUGCCCUAUGGGUUGUAAACUUCUUUUAUACGGGAAUAAAGUGGAGUAUGCAUACUCCUUUGUAUGUACCGUAUGAAUAAGGAUCGGCUAACUCCGUGCCAGCAGCCGCGGUAAUACGGAGGAUCCGAGUGUUAUCCGGAUUUAUUGGGUUUAAAGGGAGCGUAGGCGGGUGCUUAAGUCAGUUGUGAAAGUUUGCGGCUCAACCGUAAAAUUGCAGUUGAUACUGGGCGCCUUGAGUGCAGCAUAGGUAGGCGGAAUUCGUGGUGUAGCGGUGAAAUGCUUAGAUAUCACGAAGAACUCCGAUUGCGAAGGCAGCUUACUGGACUGUAACUGACGCUGAUGCUCGAAAGUGUGGGUAUCAAACAGGAUUAGAUACCCUGGUAGUCCACACGGUAAACGAUGGAUACUCGCUGUUGGCGAUAUACUGUCAGCGGCCAAGCGAAAGCAUUAAGUAUCCCACCUGGGGAGUACGCCGGCAACGGUGAAACUCAAAGGAAUUGACGGGGGCCCGCACAAGCGGAGGAACAUGUGGUUUAAUUCGAUGAUACGCGAGGAACCUUACCCGGGCUUAAAUUGCAGACGAAUUACCUGGAAACAGGUAAGCCGCAAGGCGUCUGUGAAGGUGCUGCAUGGUUGUCGUCAGCUCGUGCCGUGAGGUGUCGGCUUAAGUGCCAUAACGAGCGCAACCCUCGUGGCCAGUUACUAGCAGGUAAUGCUGAGGACUCUGGCCAGACUGCCAUCGUAAGAUGCGAGGAAGGUGGGGAUGACGUCAAAUCAGCACGGCCCUUACGUCCGGGGCUACACACGUGUUACAAUGGGAGGUACAGAAGGCAGCUACCCGGCGACGGGAUGCCAAUCUCCAAAGCCUCUCUCAGUUCGGACUGGAGUCUGCAACCCGACUCCACGAAGCUGGAUUCGCUAGUAAUCGCGCAUCAGCCACGGCGCGGUGAAUACGUUCCC
rnacentral:rRNA from 1 species